UCUCAUCAUGGCUAACAUGUAGCCAUCGCGCGGCUGCCCCGCUUGUCUCGUCUGGGAUCUGCGCCGAAUUGGAGCGUCGUCUGUGUUCGCAUUGUUGGAUGAACAAUGCGAGUGUAUUGCACUUUCCGUUGGUGGUAAUGUGAGGCAGCAAGUCAUCUGGCUGCGUGUAGUGGCCACCACUACAGUGUGUGCAGUGAUACCGUGGGAUGUGAGGCAGCGAAUCAUCUGCCCCAGGUUGGUUGCUGCAUAUGGUGAUGCGUGUAGUGAUGUUGUCGCCGUCUCUGAGAGUGAGCAAGCGAGCUGCACUUGCCCGUUGGUGGAUUUGUGAUGCAGCAAGUCGUCUUCCCCAGGUUGGUUGCUGCGUGAAGUGGUGCGUGCGGUGUACAUCGCCGCCAUCUAUGUGAGUGGGCUGGGCACUGCGCCACAAGUGCUUCGUGGGACAGUGUACGUGCAUCAGUUUUAUAUGUGAGUGGAUUGCGGGGUCAGUUGCCGAUGGCCUUUUGUUGCCAAGCGAGAAGUCUGUUGCUCCAUCUGUAGCCAAAAUGUAACAGGACAAUCGGUGGUGACUGGAGAAAUGCUUCCUUGAAUGGCUGGAGUGUUAGGUGCUUAACUUCCGCGCGUACGAGAGUGGCAGUGCCACAUUUUCUGUGCGAAUGUGGAUAGAUUGCAGCAUACGUUUUGGAUUCUGACUCAUUUAAGGUAUAUGGAUUGGCUGUAGUACUAGUUUCGAUUGUCAUCUUAAUA